UCUAAUAUGGCAGAAUAGUGCUAUGAAUUUAAGCUUCAUUUAUAAAGAUUUUUCUUUUUUUAGAA
rnacentral:tRNA from 1 species